rnacentral:rRNA from 1 species
AACGAACGCUGGCGGCAGGCCUAACACAUGCAAGUCGAACGCCGUAGCAAUACGGAGUGGCAGACGGGUGAGUAACACGUGGGAACGUACCCUUCGGUUCGGGAUAACUCAGGGAAACUUGAGCUAAUACCGGAUACGUCCGAGAGGAGAAAGAUUUAUUGCCGAGGGAUCGGCCCGCGUCUGAUUAGCUUGUUGGUGAGGUAACGGCUCACCAAGGCGACGAUCAGUAGCUGGUCNGAGAGGAUGAUCAGCCACAUUGGGACUGAGACACGGCCCAAACUCCUACGGGAGGCAGCAGUGGGGGAAUAUUGGACAAUGGGGCGCAAGCCUGAUCCAGCCAUGCCGCGUGAGUGAUGAAGG